UACAGAGGUCCCAAGCGUUGUUCGGAUUCACUGGGCGUAAAGGGUGCGUAGGUGGUCAGGUAAGUCUGAUGUGAAAGCUCUGGGCUCAACCCAGAAAUGGCAUUGGAUACUAUCUGGCUAGAGGAGUGGAGGGGGGACUGGAAUACUUGGUGUAGCAGUGAAAUGCGUAGAUAUCAAGUGGAACACCAGUGGCGAAGGCGAGUCCCUGGACACUUCCUGACACUGAGGCACGAAAGCUAGGGGAGCAAACAGG
rnacentral:rRNA from 1 species